rnacentral:lncRNA from 1 species
GAUAAAAGACCCCAGAGAACUCCGUUCAUGAAAUGAUUUGCUACAGCAGGGAAAUACCUAACCAGAAAAGGAAAAACAUUUAAGCAAAGUACCUUCAGCAUCAUGCACUGUUUCUUCAGACCCAUCAAAGCAGAAACUCAGAAGGAGUUCCUCCUAAGAAUUGGACGUGUUCAAGAAUGUCUUCAUCUUUUACUUCGUUUAUUCUUCCCAUCAGAAGAAAUGCUUCAGACUGUGAGCACCAGACAAAAGAUCAGGUGUUGUGUAUAAUACACACAGUAUUAAAUAAUUACACCAUAGUAUGCACCACUUUAAAUACUAUUUUCACUAAGAAUUGCUCUAGUAAAAAAGUAGGAAGACACUCUAUCACCAGUACACAAUGGCUGAUCAGCUUAGCAUUUGCAGAGAAUACUUCUUGGAGGGGGUUAGAAGACACUGUUUGCUAACUGAUGGUAAGUAAGUGAGAAAAAUACUGAGAAUUCCAGACACGUAACAUUGAAUUUGAUUUUGACUCUUGAUAUUGAAAUAAAAGAAAUAAAACAGUGAAGAAAAGCCUAACUAAUGGGCACAGUGCCCACUGAGGUACCGCUGGAGUGACCUAGAGGUUAUGGAAAUUUUCAGGACUCCUGGUUACUUCCAUGAAGCACUAGCUCGUGCUCAAGCACGCUUUAUCGCAGUCCCAGAAAGAGAAGAAUGGAAACAGCAAAUGGCAGCUGAACACAGGAGGGCUGGGAAGAAGCCCAGUUGCUGUUGCUUUACUGAGAAAGACUAGGAGAAGCAGCAGAACAACCAGAAAAUCAGAAGCAGAGGGAACUGAGAGCAAAUUACAAAAGUAAAAAAGGAUUAAAAGGGGAAAAAAUAACUGGGCAAAUGCACUGAGGGCUGAUGUGGGAGGCUGAUAAAGGACUCAGGUAAGACAGUUAUGUCACGUUACAAAGGAGCGUAACUUUACGUUUUGUUUUUGUUGUUUUGUUUUUUUUUUUUUUACUAUGAAGCCAAAGGCCAUAGCAAAUAAUAGAGUAUUGAGAAGAUCAAGGAGAUUGUUCUCUCCAGACUAAGGUUAGCUGUGGUAAAUAUUCCACUGAAAUUCUCUAUCCACCUCAGAAUUAACAUCCUCAAAGAAAUCAGAACAUUUUUCUGCACGUGGCCUGCAGCUUGCUUUGUUUUAAAGCUCUUGGCAUGUACAAUGCUGAAAAAGGAUAUCACAAGUGUUUUACUCGUGCUAGCUAAUAUACCGUUCUCUUUUGCACUGCUAAUGAUUUUGUAACUUACAUGUGGGGCAUACACCCCUGAUAAAAAAAGAUGGAUCGGCUCUAGUCCAUGCUUUUCUUUCAAGUGUACCGCAACUGCAUAGCUAAUGUAAGCUCCACAACUGUAGCAAAAAGAGAAAUUAAAGUAAUAGAAGUGUAAGUAAAAUCUGGAAAGCGUUAACAUAAUUUGAACAUUAGUGCUAACAUAAGUGCUAACAGACAUUGUAAAUAUAGUGAAUUUUAUGUUUCUGUAAUUAUGACAUAGUGAAAUUAACUAAUUCACACGAGAUGCAUUUCAGUACAGGCUAUUUUUACCAAUCGGGCCUUGGUUGCCUACAUUUACUGUAGUAGCCUCCCAGAUUUGCAGUAAAGAGAGUUAUGUUGAAUAAUUGAAACUAAGCGAUCUUCAGAACGUGUUCGUUUAAUGAUUGGUUCACCUCAUGCAUUCAUUAAGGAGUAAAUGUUGACACAAAUAUUAACACUAAACAAUUGUAAUUUAUUAGUGUAAAAACAAAUAAAUCACAGCACUGCCAUUUUCAGAUGAUGUACCUGAAGUCAUUUGGAAGUAACUUAAAAUAAAUACCCAGAGUCUUUGGGAUCAGCAGCAUCUUUUAGAAUGGUUUGACAAAACCUCUGCAGAAAUGUAUUUGCCAGUGUUUUUUGCCAAGAGAGUCAAAUAACUACACAAAGCUGAAGUGUUCCUUCACCACAGUAUCUGAAAAUGUGUAUAACGUCACCUGUGACCAAAGAACGCGAAUGGUUUUUCUUGCAGAUCUUCCAGCAAAGCACUGGUAAUUUCAUUAAUGACAGCCGUCAUGUCUUUGGCAAAAGGCUCCUUAGCACGACUUUCUCUUCCAGGAAGCCUUACAACAGACACUACAGAAGAGAUGGAAGAAGGGAUGGAAGAGUUGUGGUCAUUUCAAGUGCAAACAGUAAAAUCAUUUUCGUGCACUUUUCUCAUCAGUUCUGAAAAUACACAGAUUAUGGAAAUUAAUCCUUUUAUGGUUGGUACACUGUGUUUGCUAUUCCUACUGUUAUCAUUUAAUCCUGUCAUUAAAGACAGAUCAAGUCUCCAUCCCUUCCUUUACUCACAAAUGUUGCCUCUCCCACUGGAAUAAUCUAUAAAUGCCUUGAGUCAGAAAUUCACGUAAAAUGAUAACAAGGUCACGAUCUCAGCUGAGGUUUUAAAGCAAUUCUAUUGGUAUUAGUACCAAUAACAAUCAAAAAUCCACCACUAAAGCAUUUGAAAGAGCAUGCUGCUAUCUCCCUUUAUCCAUCGGGGUCUGCAGUUGUUCCUAGGCCUUUUCCUUAGUAACUUUGUUGGAAGCAUUUCCUUCUGAACAAAAGCCUUUUUAAGUGUUUACUUCUUUUAAUUUCUAGGAAAGGUAGAUGUAACUUAGGUAACAAGUUGCAGGAAGCAUGCAAGCAAUUUGAGGACCGGUGCAACUGCACUGGCAAUGCCCUCCAUUAAUGCUAAAUACUUCUUUUCUUUGUGGAAGGGCUGGGAUGAGGCCUUGGUUCCUCUUCGAAUAGUUCAGCAUUGGAUAAUUUUUGCACUGAUACUGCCUGGCAGCAAUGACAAUUGCUCCAUGCUCUAACUAAAUGUAAUGUCACUGUUAUAAAUCCCUUGUUUAAACUUCAAAUUUGAUAACAAGGAGUGCAGAAUGAUGCAAAUGCUUCGGAUAAAUGAAAUUAAUUCUGUGCAGCCUCCCAGUGUUAAAAAGUACUUCUUAGAUCUUCAGUGUUCUUCUAUAAGGCACCACUGAUGCCUUGUUUUGACACAGUUAACAACAGGCCACUGUGUUGCUGAGGUGCUGAACCCUACCAGCAGUUUCCGAGGCAGCAAGCAUACUACAUGGUCUUCAGAAAUUUAGCUCCGAGGACGUAACUUUUUAACUUAGUCAAGUAUAAGGUACAAGGUGGUACAGAAGCUUACUAAACCCAGAAUCCCAAUGAAAAUGUGAACUCCUAGUGGAAUUCCUUUCUAGAUAUAAGGUCCAUGGCAAAAAAGAUUGCAGUGCUUUCAAGAACGUGAUAUUCUGAUUAAAAAACGCGGUGACUGCAAUACAGACUGCCCAGCUUUCUUAACUUCUGCUUUAACUACCCAAAUGACAAACCUUCAAUUGAGCUGCUGAAGAGUUUGCCCCAUUGAGCAAAGUGAGAAGUUCCACCUCCAGCCCAGGGAAAGCAAAUCAGCCUACAGAGAGCGUUUGGCCUUUUAAAUGGACGAACAAUCGCCUUCUCCAUGCCUGGCAAAAAAAUAAAAGUAACCAACAUGAAAACACCCCAUUAUUCUAAAGCAAAUCCCUUCAGAUAAAGGAAAAUCAAACUGCAUUAAGUUUAACUUAUAACAGUGGGCUAACAUUUUCUAUCAUCAGAGCUGCUUGUGCUGUAACAACAGUCAGUUAGAUAUGACAUAAUCUUCACGCAACAAUGAAAACCAGUUUUAUAGAACCAGUUUUAUAGAAUGCUUUUAUAGAGGUGAUGGAAUAGCAUUGGGCAACACCUUUGGCAGUAUUUUCUUCUUGAGUGAUUGGCCACAAGGAGUAUCGCAAGCAGCAAAAGAAAUUGAUCUGGGGUUUCGAGAUGGCUCUUCAAAAACACAGGCUUUUAGAAGACAUCCCAAAAUAUAAGGCCCAUCUGAAGACAUAGAAAACACAGUGAUCACAUAGUUCAGUAUUCUGUCUACACAAGCAGUAAAAAUGGAUCUCCAGGGAACAGCUGGAUGCGGUUCCUUUAUGUACAGAAAACAUCUAUGAAUUUCUCAUUCAUGUAUUUAUCCAGUCUCCCCUCACAUUCACACAGUCAGCAUCCACAACAUCCUCUUGCAAUGAGUUGCACCACUGUCUGUUGCGUGAAGAAUGAUUUCCAUUCUCAAUCUGACUCCUACAACUUCUUCUGGUGUCCUCAGAGUAGCCGUGUAAGGAAUGCGAAUGGGAAUCACUCCGAAUCUGCCGCUAAGCAUUUCUGAGAUCUUCUGUCACAUUCUCUCAACCCCCACACAGCUUCCAGAAUGAAAAAGCCUGGCUUGCUUCAAUGUUCUUCAUAUGGCAGUGCUUCCGCAUUCAUGACCACGAUCAUUGCCCUUUUCUGUUUUCUAAUUUUGUUGUACCCUUUCUGAGAUGCUGGAGUUACCAGAACCACGCUCAGCUUUAGCACAGCAGCUUUAGUACUUUUGGUUACUGACAAAUAGAAGUAAUACUGAAGCAAGAUCUGUAACUACUCUGUUCUUUUCACUGAGAGGAGAAAUAGGAUCAAAGAUGCCAGCUGCGUUGUUCUUAAGCAUCAGAUACUGUCUUUUCUAUCAGAAGAGUUACUCUCAACCAUUCUUUCUUUCUUGACUUUCCUUUCCUUUAUUAUUGCAGAUUAGAUUGGCGGACAUGAACACUGAGGUGACAUCCCACUGCUUAUUGCAUACCAGGCUCCGUUCCGUCAAACAGAAAUACCAGGCACAGAAAAAUUCCUUAGAAGUGACUGUGAAACAGAAUCUAUGAAAAAUCUGCAACCAUAAGAAUAAACUCACAGGUUCCUGUUAAAAAGGCUGUAAAACUAAUAGUAGAUAAAUAUAAGCAGCAAAAAAAGAGCAACAUUUCCAAGAUGCUUAAAGUCAUCACAGGCAUUAUUUCCCACUAUGAAUACAGCUCUGUAUAUGCAAGAGCAGAUGACUGUUCAUAAAAUAAACCUACAUGCUUAUAUGUAGUCUUUUUUUACCUGCUCACAAAAGUAUGGGAAGUGCAACCAGAUCAGAGUAGGCAGCAAUUCUCACCAAUUUUAAUGCAAACGAGAAAGAAGAAAAUCUAUUGUGAUGUUGCUGUAGCCAAAAUUCUCUUGAUUUGAGGGCAUGUUAAAUAUCA